rnacentral:lncRNA from 1 species
UUUUUUUUUUUUUUUUUGAGACAGGGUCUUGCCAUAUUGCCCAGGCUGGUCUCAAACUCCUGGACUCAGGUGAUCCUCCUGCCUCAGCCUCCCAAAGUGCUGAGAUUACAUGCAUGAGCCACCAUGCCCAGUCUAAAUCAGUGAUUCUGCAGGUAUCUGGUUAUAAGAAUCCCCAUGUGUCCAUUUGUGGUGGAGGGGUGUGGAGGGAGGGAGUGUUUGAUAGAAACACAGACCCCUGAGGCUUACUCCAAACCUGCUGAAUCAGCUUUCCAGUGCACGUGGGUGAGCCAGGAGGCCUCAUUGAGCCACUGGGGACAGGAGGGUAAGGCCAGCAUAGAGAUGGAUGUGGCUUAGGGUGAACACCCAUCCCUGUUUGCUUGGGACUAAGGGAAAAGUCCUGAUCAAACUGGGAUGAGUUGGUCACCCUGAUGCGGCUCCUUCAAAUAACGUCCAGUGGGAUGGCCUGGCCAGAGCUCUGCUCAGUUGAAGCAUCGCUCCAGGCCCUCCCUACCCCGGAGAGGGAGCACUACACAGUAUUUCCCUGGGGGGUCCUGACCCUCCCUCCUCCGAUGUACCCCCACCCCAGCAGGUCUCCCCAUCUCUGUUAUGCAGACUUCCAUCAUUUUUGGGUCUCAUGCUUCCCUUGCCCCUAUCAAGCCUGGCUCUCAGGAAAGGAUGACUUACCAGUUAUUAACACCUUAGAAUUAAUUUCAGCAAGUGUAUUGCUUUUCCUGGGGGUCUUUGUAUUUGAAACUUCCUUCUUGAGAGUGGAAGAAGUAACUAACUUUUUUUUAGGAGGGGUGAUAUUUACGCAAUGAGGUCACAGGCUCAGGAAAGAGAUGUCUGGACCGAUGCUGAGCAGUAACACCUAUUCUUGCAAAGACGGCCCCAGGAGCUCUGCAGGACACUCAAGGGGUGUCUUCUACCCCCGAGGGAGACCCUGGGCCCCUGGGCCCCUGGGCCGUCCUGGCCAGCCUUUGUCUUGACUUCCCCCGAGAAUGGUGAAAUCUUAGCUUUUGAGCCAAGAAUAUUGUUUUGAAAAAAUGAAACGCCCAGCGAGUCCCUAUAGUCCCCAAACCUCAUUUUAAAGGGAUUACAGCAGCUGGCUUGUAAAUCCUGUUUCUUAUGGUGGGGGGCUUAGAGCAGGGCUCAGGAAGAGACUAGGGUGGGGGAAAGAAAGGAGGUCAUUUCAUUUCCUGGAGAGGAAAGCCAGGCUCUCCUCCACUGUGACGCCUGGGAUGGGGUUCACUGUCCCCACCAGGGAAAAUGGAGGGGGCAGGAAAGCUCCUGGACUUGGAGUCUGGCCACCAGAGCUCCACUCCCAGUUGUACCAUCAAUUCACAGGCGACCUGGGGGCCAUCCCUGGACCUCCUCUGGGUCUCUGUCUCCUGCACGACAAGGAUUUGAAAAUUAAAAGGAAGAGUUUUGAUGUCUUUCCUUCUUCUCUUACGCUCCAAGCAGGGUACCCUCUCUGUGGGCUCCCC